rnacentral:rRNA from 1 species
UACGGGGGGAGCAAGCGUUGUCCGGAAUUAUUGGGCGUAAAGGGCUCGUAGGCGGUCUGUUGCGUCGGGAGUGAAAACUCAGGGCUUAACCCUGAGCCUGCUUCCGAUACGGGCAGACUAGAGGUAUGCAGGGGAGAACGGAAUUCCUGGUGUAGCGGUGAAAUGCGCAGAUAUCAGGAGGAACACCGGUGGCGAAGGCGGUUCUCUGGGCAUUACCUGACGCUGAGGAGCGAAAGUGUGGGGAGCGAACAGG